rnacentral:ncRNA from 1 species
AUCUUCAGGGCAGGGUGAAAUUCCCGACCGGCGGUAAGCCGAAGCUUCCAUAGAACAAUUGAAGGUUUCUGUGGGAGCUUCGGAGCAAAGUCCGCGAGCCUUCGGGCCGAUCCGGUGCGAUUCCGGAACCGACAGUACAGUCUGGAUGGGAGAAGAC